CCCUUAGAUGUUCUGGGCCGCACGCGUGCUACACUGAGUGGAUCAGCGGGUCAGGUUGCGCGAAAGCGUUUCCUAAUCUUUAAAUCCGCUCGUGAUGGGGAUUGACGGUUGCAAUUUUCUGUCAUGAACGAGGAAUACCUUGUAAGCGCGGGUCAUCAUCCCGCGCUGAAUACGUCCCUGCCCUUUGUACACACCGCCCGUCGCUCCUACCGAUUGAGUGAUCCGGUGAGACUUUGGGAUCUGAGCGGAAAGAGCGUUUCGCUGUUUCUGCUCGGAAAACUCAGUCGAACCUUAUCAUUUAGAGGAAGGAGAAGUCGUAACA
rnacentral:rRNA from 1 species